rnacentral:rRNA from 1 species
CUGGGUACUCGAGUGGCGAACGGGUGAGUAACACGUGGGUGAUCUGCCCUGCACUUUGGGAUAAGCCUGGGAAACUGGGUCUAAUACCGAAUACACCCUUCUGGCUGCAUGGUCUGGGAGGGGAAAGCUUUUGCGGUGUGGGAUGGGCCCGCGGCCUAUCAGCUUGUUGGUGAGGUUACGGCUCACCAAGGCGACGACGGGUAGCCGGCCUGAGAGGGUGACCGGCCACACUGGGACUGAGAUACGGCCCAGACUCCUACGGGAGGCAGCAGUGGGGAAUAUUGCACAAUGGGCGCAAGCCUGAUGCAGCGACGCCGCGUGAGGGAUGACGGCCUUCGGGUUGUAAACCUCUUUCGCCAGGGACGAAGCGCAAGUGACGGUACCUGGAGAAGAAGGACCGGCCAACUACGUGCCAGCAGCCGCGGUAAUACGUAGGGUCCGAGCGUUGUCCGGAAUUACUGGGCGUAAAGAGCUCGUAGGUGGUUUGUCGCGUUGUUCGUGAAAACUCACAGCUCAACUGUGGGCGUGCGGGCGAUACGGGCAGACUGGAGUACUGCAGGGGAGACUGGAAUUCCUGGUGUAGCGGUGGAAUGCGCAGAUAUCAGGAGGAACACCGGUGGCGAAUGCGGGUCUCUGGGCAGUAACUGACGCUGACGAGCGAAAGCGUGGGGAGCGAACAGGAUUAUAUACCCUGGUAGUCCACGCCGUAUACGGUGGGUACUACGUGUGGGUUUCCUUCCUUGGGAUCCGUGCCGCAGCUAACACAUUAAGUACCCCCCCUGGGGAGUACUGCCGCAAGGCUAUAACUCACAGAAAUUGACUGGGGCCCGCACAAACGGCGGAGCAUGUGCAUUAAUCUAU